rnacentral:rRNA from 1 species
UACGGUAGGGGCAAGCGUUGUCCGGAUUUAUUGGGCGUAAAGAGCGUGUAGGCGGCCAGGUAGGUCUGCUGUGAAAACUCGAGGCUUAACCUCGAGAUGUCGGCGGAAACCAUCUGGCUAGAGUCCGGAAGAGGAGAAUGGAAUUCCCGGUGUAGCGGUGAAAUGCGCAGAUAUCGGGAAGAACACCGUGGCGAAGGCGGUUCUCUGGGACGGUACUGACGCUGAGACGCGAAAGCGUGGGGAGCGAACAGG